rnacentral:rRNA from 1 species
AUACGGAGGGUGCAAGCGUUGUUCGGAAUAACUGGGCGUAAAGCGCACGUAGGCGGAAUGUUAAGUUAGAGGUGAAAUCCCAGGGCUCAACCCUGGAACGGCCUUUAAUACUGGCAAUCUAGAGACCGAGAGAGGUGAGUGGAAUUCCGAGUGUAGAGGUGAAAUUCGUAGAUAUUCGGAGGAACACCAGUGGCGAAGGCGGCUCACUGGCUCGGUACUGACGCUGAGGUGCGAAAGCGUGGGGAGCAAACAGGAAUAGAAACCCGAGUAGUCC